GAUGAACGCUGGCGGCGUGCCUAAUACAUGCAAGUCGAGCGAACAGACGAGGAGCUUGCUCCUCUGACGUUAUCGGCGGACGGGUGAGUAACACGUGGAUAACCUACCUAUAAGACUGGGAUAACUUCGGGAAACCGGAGCUAAUACCGGAUAAUAUAUUGAACCGCAUGGUUCAAUAGUGAAAGACGGUUUUGCUGUCACUUAUAGAUGGAUCCGCGCCGCAUUAGCUAGUUGGUAAGGUAACGGCUUACCAAGGCAACGAUGCGUAGCCGACCUGAAAGGGUGAUCGGCCACACUGGAACUGAGACACGGUCCAGACUCCGACGGGAGGCAGCAGUAGGGAAUCUUCCGCAAUGGGCGAAAGCCUGACGGAGCAACGCCGCGUGAGUAAUGAAGGUCUUCGGAUCGUAAAACUCUGUUAUUAGGGAAGAACAAAUGUGUAAGUAACUAUGCACGUCUUGACGGUACCUAAUCAGAAAGCCACGGCUAACUACGUG
rnacentral:rRNA from 1 species